UGGGGAAUAUUGGACAAUGGGCGCAAGCCUGAUCCAGCCAUGCCGCGUGUGUGAAGAAGGCCUUUUGGUUGUAAAGCACUUUAAGCGAGGAGGAGGCUACUUGGAUUAAUACUCUAGGAUAGUGGACGUUACUCGCAGAAUAAGCACCGGCUAACUCUGUGCCAGCAGCCGCGGUAAUACAGAGGGUGCGAGCGUUAAUCGGAUUUACUGGGCGUAAAGCGUGCGUAGGCGGCUUUUUAAGUCGGAUGUGAAAUCCCUGAGCUUAACUUAGGAAUUGCAUUCGAUACUGGGAAGCUAGAGUAUGGGAGAGGAUGGUAGAAUUCCAGGUGUAGCGGUGAAAUGCGUAGAGAUCUGGAGGAAUACCGAUGGCGAAGGCAGCCAUCUGGCCUAAUACUGACGCGGAGGUACGAAAGCAUGGGGAGCAAACAGG
rnacentral:rRNA from 1 species